rnacentral:rRNA from 1 species
GACGUAGGGCGCGAGCGUUGUCCGGAUUUAUUGGGCGUAAAGCGCGCGUAGGCGGCCAGAUAAGUCCGGUGUGAAAGUCACAGGCUCAACCUGUGAAUGCCGCUGGAAACUGUCUGGCUAGAGUCCGGAAGGGGCGAGUGGAAUUCCCGGUGUAGCGGUGAAAUGCGCAGAUAUCGGGAGGAACACCAGUAGCGAAGGCGGCACUCUGGGCCGGUACUGACGCUGAGGAGCGAAAGCGUGGGGAGCGAACAGG